rnacentral:rRNA from 1 species
AUGGCAUGCCUUGCUCCGCCAGCGUCCUUCGCUCCCUUUUGCAGGGGCCCCUUUGCAUCUCCGGCCAACUUGUAUCGGCCGCCCGCCUCCAUCGCCUCCUUGUCUCCUUCGUCUCCCCCUUUCUACCCCAGCCGUGUCAUGGUUAGGUGGGAAGCUCCCCCGGCGGGCUGGCUGAAGCUAAACUUCGACGGGUCUGUGUACAACGACGGGUCCGGCCGGGCUAGCAUCGGCGGCGCCAUCCGCGACUGCAACGGCCGCGUUCUUGUCGCCUUUGCCGAGCCGACGGAGCACUCGACCGUGGGCAUAGUGGAGGCCAGGGCGCUCAUCCGCGGGCUGCGCCCCGCGCUGAGUCGCUUCCGCGGCAGGCUGGUGGCGGAAGGAGACGACCUGAUGCUGGUGGAGCUCCUCACCGGCGAGGAGACGCAGACGCGCGUACCUCAGGCCAUGCAAGACGAGAUUCUCAUGCUGCUUGGGUGCUUCGCGGCGUACAAGGUCCAGCACAUCUUCCGCGAGGGCAAUCAGGUCGCCCACGUCCUGUGCAAGGAGGCGUAUCAGCGUCCGGGGGUGUGGGCGGGCGGGAUCGUGUCGCACGCCGUCUGGGAGAAGGCCCAAGACGAUGUGCACGGCGUGGCGCACGAGCGGCUCUUCAAGAAGAAGUAG